ACUCAAAUGAAUUGACGGGGGCCCGCACAAGCGGUGGAGCAUGUGGUUUAAUUCGACGCAACGCGCAGAACCUUACCAGCUCUUGACAUUAUAUCAGCGACUUACGGAGACGUAGGUUUCACUUCGGGUGGGAUAUAACAGGUGCUGCAUGGCUGUCGUCAGCUCGUGUCGUGAGAUGUUGGGUUAAGUCCCGCAACGAGCGCAACCCUCAUCUUCAGUUACUAACGGAUAAUGCCGAGGACUCUGGAGAAACUGCCGGUGAUAAACCGGAGGAAGGUGGGGAUGACGUCAAGUCCUCAUGGCCCUUAUGGGCUGGGCUACACACGUGCUACAAUGGUGGUGACAAUGGGAAGCAAUACCGCAAGGUGGAGCGAAUCCCCAAAAGCCACCUCAGUUCAGAUUGUCCUCUGCAACUCGAGGGCAUGAAGUUGGAAUCGCUAGUAAUCGUAGAUCAGCAUGCUACGGUGAAUACGUUCUCGGGCCUUGUACACACCGCCCGU
rnacentral:rRNA from 1 species